CACGCCCUAAACGAUGGAUACUAAACGUGGGUGGUAUCGACUCCAUCCGUGUUGAAGUUAACGCGAUAAGUAUCCCGCCUGGGGAGUACGGCCGCAAGGUUAAAACUCAAAGGAAUUGACGGGGACCCGCACAAGCAGAGGAGCAUGUUGUUUAAUUCGAGGCAACGCGAAAAACCUUACCAAGGCUUGACAUUUAAUGCAUAGUCUAGAGAUAGAUGAAUUUAUAGCAAUAUAACAUUAAAACAGAUGG
rnacentral:rRNA from 1 species